CAGUCGGCUCUGUGCCCGGAGAGCCCUGGGCCUCUGCCUGGAUGUCCAGGGAACCCCGAAGAAGCUUGGAAGGCAGCCCCUGUGCUCUGGGUCGGGGCACCUCUGGCCCUGCAGGGCCCGCCUUGCAGGGGGCGCUCGGGCUAAGCUGCCGUCUGCUCGCCUUCUACCCUGGGUCUCAGGGCCACCCGGCCCCCGGGGGAGGAGGGCCCGUUCCGCUCUGGCCUCCAGAUUGGCCCCUGCCUUUUAGACUGCCCCCCACCUGCCUGGCCACGCCUUCCUCGCGCCUCCAGGAAGCAGGAAUCCAGGUUGUUUCCGGGAUUCCCGCCCUUUCCUGGGAGUUCUGGCCACCAUCCUGGCUCUGGCUUUCUAGGUGCCCAGCAGCCUCCACCCUGGACACUGUCUUCUCAGGAGGCUUCUGGCUUUGUGAGAGAUUCUCUGUGGGUUGGAACCUGCUCUGUGCCUCUGGUCUCUGUCAAGCUUUGUACUCUCUCUGGAGGACCCCAAGUCCCUGUCUGCCAUAUGAACAGUGCCUCUCUUAAAGUGCGGGGACCACAGAAAUGCCUUGGCUCCUGGAACGAACAAGUUAGCUCAGGGAACCCGUGCUGUGGGUUGCAGGGAUGACAUCCAUUGUUCCCUAGGGAGGGGCAGAGCAUUCCUGAACACUGCUCCAUUAUAUUUUCAGCACCUGAGGGAUCGCUUUCAUACAUGACAACUGGAUAGCAAGCUUUUCUGACGCAGGGAAGGUAGGGGAGGGUGUGAGGGGAAGGAGUCCCCAAGUGUCUGCAACUGCAGAGACCCAGGUGUGGUCAGGACUGGGUCAGGUGAGGAGCGGGGCAAUGACCUUGGGGCCUCUUGGACACUCCACCGUCUUCCCUUAAAAGAGCUGUGGCUGAGCCAGAUGACUGAUGGAAUCUUUUUAACUGAUGUCCUAGACAUCUCAGCAGUAAUUAUCUCCGGCUUAGGCUGUCUCUCGCCGAGGCAGCUCAGUGCUAAUGCGCCCUGUGGCAGCCUUCCAACAGCCCCUCACAGGGGACUCAGGCUUCGCCCUGCCAAUUAUCUGCGGGUGCUGCUCUCCCCAGAAGGAAGCAGGGGCUGGGACAGAGUAACAUCUCUCUCCCGGAGUCUGUCCAUCAGUCAGUCAACAACCAUGGAGGAGCCCUUCCGAGGCAAAUGCCUGUCUCAUUCACUCUGAUCUUUAACCACCUGGUCUCCCACACGGUUUCCUAGCUGUCUGAUUCUCUUUCCCUCUGACAUACUUAUUCAUUCAGCAAAGAGGUAGAGAAGUUGAGAGGCAAUCCAGGAUGACAAAGGAUACUGACUCUGAAGCCAGAUAGUCUGGGUUUGACUCCAACUAUUCCCCUCACUAGUUCUGUGAUUGCAGACGAACUGUACCUCAGAAUCAGUAAUUGACAGUUAUUGCAGACAGCAGAUGAGUUAAAUACAUUACUUGCUUUGGCGGGUUUUUGGCACAUAGUACUAUAGAUGCGUUUGUGAUUAAAAUAAUAAUCAUUAACUGUGUUCAAAGCAUGCCACUAGGUCUGGAGAUAAACAGUGAUCAAGCAGAGAAAUUCCACCUGACUUCAUGGA
ensembl:lncRNA